rnacentral:lncRNA from 1 species
CCCCCGGACGAGUAAGUCGACUCUAAUGCUCGUCUUUGCACCAUCUUGGAGGAUGCGACCUUUGACGAUCGAAAGGUUAUCAAGGAGUUGAUUGAGAGGACAAUGCUCCUAAUGGAGUUGAGAGAAAUUGGCGGCAUGGAUUUCGAUGAUCUGCAACUAUGACUACCAUGCAUCAGGUACUUCCUUUGCUCUUUUUUUUAUUCUUUUACUUUUUUUUCUCCUCUUCAUCUCUCUUUCUAACAUGGCCUCUGUACAGAUGCUUCAUUUCUUAGUCAACCUACUGGGCCACACGCACAAAGUAGAGAUGAUGAAGGAUCUAUGUCGGCAGGCCGAGUCUGCCGUAGUGAAGGCACGUGUGCAGACCGAAACGGCUAGGGGAGAGGUGGAGCGCCUGAAGGAGGCGCUAAAUAAAACUAAUGCUGAUCUUGUUCGGAGAGAGAAGGAGCUACGGAGGCCGCUACCAAGAUCAUAGAGGCUGAGAAGAAAGUCGAGGACUUGAUCGCCGCAGCCAGGCAAGAGGCCGAGGAGAGGAUUGUUGAGGCUUGUCAAUCGGCCAUGGAGGCUUUCAAAGUUUCAGUAGUUUUUAAGCAGGAGAAAGCUCAAGCGGUUGAUAGCUUCAAGGCAUCAAAAGGAUUUUAUGAUGCCAUGGUCGUGUUCGGCUAGGAAUCCUUCAACACGGAGUAGGAAAUCAGAUUCGAGAAUUGCCACCGUCGAGUUGCCGCUCGAAUCCCUGAGGCCGACCUGUCCUUCUUGGAUGAGG